GUCUUAGUGUUUAUUGCUCUGUUUCUGAUAUUGGAAAUGGCUUACAGGAAAUGGAAAUUAGAACAUCGGUAGUAUCAAGAACAGUAUACAGUACAAUAUUCUUUAAAACUACACAUCGUUCAUGUAGGUGAAAAUUAUUUCUUUUGUCAGCAACCAUCUGUCUUGCUUUGUAUUCAAAGCUAACAUGUUAGAGACAACGUCCUAUACUCAACACUUUCUGAAAAGGACUGGUUUGUCUAUAUGGCCAAAUCAACCAGUUCAUUCUCUGAGCCUGAAUAACAAGUUACGUUAGAAGAAAUACCGGAACCUGACAGCAUUAGGGGGAACAAGCAACAUUGCAAAAGUAACAAGGAAGAACAGUUACUUUACGAAUGUAAUGAAUAAUGGCAUCUUACUUUCUAGCUUUUUUUCUAGCCAUUUUGAUAGGAACUAUUUUGUGCUUUGAUUACCAAAUGGACAUCGGUUCCUAAGAAAAAGCUUAAGAAAAACUAAUGCAGAAGUAACAAGUGGCAUGAAAGGUGAUACAGUGAGUCCUCAUAAUCACAGCACAAUAAUUUAAAAAGAAUAAUGUAAUAAAUUAUUUUUAAAAGCUCAGAGAAAAUCUUCAUUCAAAGGGAUAGUUUCUCCCAUGGACUCUGACUGAUGUGUAUAAGCAACAAUAAAUAUCAGACUAUCAAAACAGCACUUUAAUGAACUACCCAGGACAUAUUUAAUAUACUUUCUAUUAUGAGGGACUACAAACCCAAAAAAGCUGGCAAUUAUGUUAUAGCUGACUUGUUUUUCAAAUCUUAUUUUAGCAUGCUUUAAAUAUUACUCUGAAGUUAGAUUAUUGCCUCUAGGUUCUUUCAUUGAUUUAUAUUUCAAAGCUAGUUUUAUUUUUCAUGUUGGGAGCGACUUGAGAAGCUGCAAGUCGCUUCUGAUGUGAAAGAAUUGGCCAUCUGCAAGGACAUUUCCAAAGCUAAUAAUGAUGAUAUUCAACAAUAUUUUGUCAGAGAUGUAUGGUAUUUGAAAUUAGGAGAACUGUUUUAGAUGUGUAAAUUAGGUAUCCAAGGGAGACAAAUAUAAUGUUAUGUAAAUAUCUAGCUUUUAUACAAAAAAUAAGUGUUUUAUAUGUUUUAUUUACAAUAUUUAUGUGUCUUCCAUUUUCCAUAUGCACCACUCAGCAAAUACCUCCUUAAACUUUGUCUGAGAUCAAUUUGUGUAUACAUUAUUUGUCAGAAAAAGUGAUUCCUUUGCUUUCUGAUGGUUUGAUGUACACAAAAUUGGUUUCAUGAACAGAAAUAUUAUUAAAAAUAUUAUCUUCA